rnacentral:lncRNA from 1 species
CAGAAGUCAGGUCGGAUUAAGCCAUAGUACGGAAAAAACUAUGCUACCUGUGAGCCCCGUCCAAGGACGUUAAAAGAAGUCAGGCCAUUACAAGUGCCAUAGCUUGAGUAAACUAUGCAGCCUGUAGCUCCACCUGAGAAGGUGUAAAAAAUCUGGGAGGCCACAAACCAUGGAAGCUGUACGCAUGGCGUAGUGGACUAGCGGUUAGAGGAGACCCCUCCCUUACAAAUCGCAGCAAC